GAUUGAACGUUGCAAUUGUUGUUCACGAACGAGGAAUUCCUAGUAGGCGCGGGUCAUCAACCCGCGCCGAUUACGUCCCUGCCCUUUGUACACACCGCCCGUCGCUCCUACCGAUCGAACGGUCCGGUGAGGACCCAGGACGGCGCGGGGACCCGAGGGGCCGAAAGGCUCCGCGACCCGUGUCGGAAUCCGUCCGAACCUUACCGUUUAGAGGAAGAAGAAGCAUUCUGGCUCAGAACGAACGCUGGCGGCGCGUCUUAAACAUGCAAGUCGAACGAUCUGUAGCAAUACAGGGAGUGGCGGACGGGUGAGGAACACGUAGGAAUCUACCUAGAAGAGCGGGACAACUUUGGGAAACCGGGGCUAAUACCGCAUAGUACAGAGAUGUUAAAGGGCUAGCAAUAGUCGCUUCUAGAUGAGCCUGCGGUCUAUCAGCUUGUUGGUGAGGUAAUGGCUCACCAAGGCAACGACGGAUAGCCGGUCUGAGAGGAUGAUCGGCCACACUGGCAC
rnacentral:rRNA from 1 species